UACGUAGGCAGCAAGCGUUGUUCGGAAUUACUGGGCGUAAAGCGCGUGUAGGCGGCUAAGUAAGUCGGGCGUGAAAUCCCACGGCUCAACCGUGGAAGUGCACUCGAAACUGCAUAGCUAGAGUCCUGGAGAGGAAGGUGGAAUGCUUGGUGUAGAGGUGAAAUUCGUAGAUAUCAAGCGGAACACCGGUGGCGAAGGCGGCCUUCUGGACAGUGACUGACGCUGAGACGGCGAAAGCGUGGGGAGCAAACAGG
rnacentral:rRNA from 1 species